rnacentral:lncRNA from 1 species
CUCUGGGGUCCGUCCCCAGGGCCCAGCCUGGCCAAGUGCUUUGCUGGCUCCCUGCAGCGAGUCCCUGAGCACCGGCUGUGUCCUCACUUGCAGGGUGACAGGUGUCCUCCUAAGGACAGCCACCCUCAUGCCCCAGACCCGCACUUGGCUGGCACUGAGACCCGGUUGUCUGGCCCCGGCCCCGGGGCCCUCCCAGCACCGGGCUGGUAACCCAGCUGCUCCCACCGUGGUCCUUGCUCCCCGGUGACUCGACUGGGCUCCAAGACACAGAGUAUCGGGGGCAGCGAAGUGCUCUGUGGACCCAGAGCCAUGGCUGCCGCUCUCCUCAGGUCCACAGGGCACUGACGCAAGACCCAGGGACCAGGGUCGAUGCCCUCUCCAGGGAGGACCCACUCAGCCAGAGCCUGGAGAGUGCUCUGUGUGAAGGUGACCCCUCGUCUCCAGGCGCCUGAUGGAAUCCUUGCUCCUGUUUUUCCCCUUAAGGCAUUAAAAAUAAAUAAACAAACAUCCAUGUGCCCAAGAAAUAAGACAUUACUGAUGUGCCCUGCUGGGGUUUGACUCUAGAAUGUUCCCCAGAGACCCAGAUAGUGAAAGACGUGGUCCCCAGUCCCUGGGGCUGUCUGGAGGUGGCAGAACCUAGGUGAGGUAGGACCUAGUGGAAGAAGGUCCCUGGCGAAUGUCUUUAAAGGGGACAUUGGGACCCCAGUCACGUCCUCUCUCUCCUCCUCCUGCUUCCUAGAUGCCAUGAGGUAGACAGGCCUCCUCCACCAUGUCUGCCCGCCAUGAGGCACUGUGCUGCCACAGGCCCAAAGCAACAGGCCAAGGGACCAUGACCUGAAACCACUGAAACUGUG